CAACGCGAAGACCCUUACCAAGGCUUUGACAUAUACCGGAAAGCAUCAGAGAUGGUGCCCCCUUGUGGUCGGUAUACAGGUGGUGCAUGGCUGUCGUCAGCUCGUGUCGUGAGAUGUUGGGUUAAGUCCCGCACCGAGCGCAACCCUUGUUCUGUGUUGCCAGCAGGCCCUUCGGGGUGAUGGGGACUCACAGGAGACUGCCGGGGUCAACUCGGAGGAAGGUGGGGACGACGUCAAGUCAUCAUGCCCCUUAUGUCUUGGGCUGCACACGUGCUACAAUGGCCGGUACAAUGAGCUGCGAUGCCGCGAGGCGGAGCGAAUCUCAAAAAGCCGGUCUCAGUUCGGAUUGGGGUCUGCAACUCGACCCCAUGAAGUCGGAGUUGCUAGUAAUCGCAGAUCAGCAUUGCUGCGGUGAAUACGUUCCCGGGCCUUGUACACACCGCCCGUCACGUCACGUCGCGAAAGUCGGUAACCACCCGAAGCCGGUGGCCCAACCCCUUGUGGGAGGGAGCUGUCGAAGGUGGGGCUGGCGA
rnacentral:rRNA from 1 species